AUGAUGGAAAGGGAGAAGGAGGAAGCACUGUUCUGGAGUCUCAAGUUGCCACUGCCGUCGGUGAUCUACACGGCGGGAGUGUCCUUCUUCCCCUUCAUCUACUACAAGACACAGGAAGUCUACAACAUGCUCAAGGGGCUUCGGCGCCAGCCCUCAAGGCGCCACGGGCGCCAUGAGUCUCCUAUCCUGGAACUGUCAGGGCGUCGGCGGGAGCCUUGACAGUCCAAAGAUGCGUCAUCUCGCCAGGCUCAUCAACUCUACGAAUGCUCAGCUGAAGGUCUUUCUGGUGGUCUAUGGCUUCUAUCUAGGGAUCAAGUAGAGGUUUCAGUUAUCGAGUCCUGUAAUUUUUAUUUCUUAGCUAUUUGCUACCACAAGCAUGUCA